GGACUACAGGGGUAUCUAAUCCUGUUUGCUCCCCACGCUUUCGUGCAUGAGUGUCAGUGCUAUCCCAGGGGGCUGCCUUCGCCAUCGGUAUUCCUCCACAUCUCUACGCAUUUCACUGCUACACGUGGAAUUCUACCCCCCUCUGACGCACUCUAGCCGUGCAGUCCCAAAUGCAGUUCCCAAGUUGAGCUCGGGGAUUUCACAUCUGGCUUGCACAACCACCUGCGCACGCUUUACGCCCAGUAAUUCCGAUUAACGCUUGCACCCUACGUAUUACCGCGGCGGCUGGCAC
rnacentral:rRNA from 1 species